rnacentral:rRNA from 1 species
UACGUAGGGGGCGAGCGUUGUCCGAAGUUACUGGGCGUAAAGCGCGCGUAGGCGGCUUUUUAAGUCUGGUGUGAAAGGUUGGGGCUCAACCCCAAGAGUGCACUGGAGACUGGGAGGCUUGAGUUCGGGAGGGGAGGGUGGAAUUCCUGGUGUAGCGGUGAAAUGCGUAGAUAUCUGGAGGAACACCGGUGGCGAAGGCGGCAUCCUGGACCGGUAUUGACGCUGAGGCGCGAAAGCCAGGGGAGCAAACGGGAUUAGAGUACCCUUGUAGUCCAACGAUGCCAAGUCCU